AGAUCUGGGUUUGAAUUAUAGUUUGGCUGCUUCCUAGCUGUUUGAUCUUGGACAAAACUUUCAUUCAUUCUAUAUUUUUUGGAGUGUCUACUCCAUGCCAAUCAUGUGUGAAAUGUUGGGAUAACAAAGGCGAAUUCAAUCUGGCUCUCGUCCUCGGAGCUUAAGCAAAUCAUCUGGGGUAGCGUGACCCAUGCUACGAUGGAGGUGGAAUACGGGGCUGCAGGGCGGGGCCACAGGACAUAGUGGGCAGCUUAACCUCCUUGAGCCUCCCUAUCCCUAAUUCACGUGAUGGGGUUUGUAACCACUUCUCACAUCGUUGAGAGAAAAGGGUGAGCCUGACUCAGAGGUGUGGCAAAGGAAGGGCAGGGCAGGCUUUAAGGACAGGGACAGGGCUGUCAGAGGCUGAGGCUAGGGAGGGGCAGGAAGGGGUGUGAGGCAGGGCGGAAGAGAGCAGGGCCCUGGGCAGGUGCUGAGCCAGGUCCUGCAGGUCACCCAGUCGCUUGAGUCCACGAAUGCUGGAGGCAGGCACUGGAGAGCCAGGGUGGUUCAGCCGCAGCUCCUCUGAGCAGGGAGUCAAACAGGGCUGAAACAGACACCAGCUCUCCAGGACCAGCUGGAGCCUGGACCUGUGGCCUUCCCUGCCUCCACCUGGGCCUCAACCGUCACGACCACCUGGCCUUUGAGAAAUCAAAUGGCUCACGCUGUGUCUCAGAGCUGCAACGAUCCAACGCCCUCCAUCCUUCAGAGGCUGUCUGAGUCCGGGGACACAACUCCCACCCUCCUCUCCUGCCAGCCGCGGCCCGUGGCUGCUCUCUUCACUUCGUCCCGCUUCGCCCCGACUGUGGAUCUACCCGCUCCCUUCUCCCUCAGUCCCCAAAGCACCAGACUCACAGGCCUGCUGUGUGACCCACUUUUACCGACCUUUCGGGGAGAGUAGAGGGCAUUUGUGACUCAGCUCAGAGCAGGAAACACAUCUCACGUCAACUGUCAGACAGCGCUGCUCCGAAUCCCAUCACAGUGCUCCAGCAGGGGGCGUCCUCACCGGCCGCGGCCACAGCCACGGCUCAACCCGGCCUAGCUCCCAGACACCCUCCUUCCACCGCCUGUUUUCCACCGUCCCCGCCUGCUCUUUCAAGCCAGCAGCAAACAACACCCUAAUCCGUGUCUUUAUUAUUCAAAGACCUUAAGCACUCUUUCCCACCUCGUUCCCAUCUUGAUUAUUUCAGGGAAUGAAUUAGGGAUUCACCUUUACAAUCAAAAAAGUUCUCUCAAAGCCAGGCUACUGGAGUUCUAAUUCUGCCUUCCCACUUUUACUAGCUGUGAAAUCUCAGGAAAGUUACUUAACCUCUCUCUGUCUCAUUUUCCUCAUCUUUAAAAAACAGGAUGAUAAUAUUUAGCUCCUAAGAUGGUUGUGAGGAUUUAAGUGAGCUGAUAUAUCCAAGAAUGUCUAGAACAGCGCGUGGCAGAAUGGGCAUUGCAUAUGGGUUUAAUCUUGUAACUGCCAUGUUUCACCAAUUCUAAGGUGUAUCUCGUUUCUCAUCAUAAGAGCUCUUCCGCUCGUGUGGCAGCUGGGAGUGGCCGUCAUUGCCUGCGCAUACCUAAACUUGGUCAGCAGCCAAGUGUUUUGUGAGACCUAAGAAAGGAAGAGCCCCAUAAGUAAAUGGAACUGUUGUGUUGUUUUAUUACCGAGAAAAGGGCAGAAUGAUUGCUAGUCACACGUGAAGCAAGAAAACCCCGGCAAUAAAGCUUGCAGAAUGAGUGGCUGAGGCUUGAAAAUAAAUGGUGGAAACAAUAGUGGACAAUCUUUUAAAGAAUGGCACAUUGCCAAUGCUCCUGAUGGCACAGAAGGUGACACCAUGCAGAAAAUCAAGGCUCUGAGUCAAAGAGGGUUUCAGAAAAAUUGGACUCUGAAUGUGAAGAAAUCUGGGGACUAUUUUAGCCAAUUUGUUUUGCCUAUAAUUUCCUUUUAUGCAUGCAAAAGAGCAAUUCUGAC
rnacentral:lncRNA from 1 species